rnacentral:lncRNA from 1 species
UUUUUUUUUUUUGUUGUUGUUGUGUUUUGUUGUGCUUUGUUUUUUUUUUUUGGGGGGGGGUUUUUUGUUUGUUUUGUUUGUUUGUUUGGUUUUGUUUCUUUUGGGGGGGGUGUUGGUUUUUUUUAAAAGUCAAAAGUUCUGACUGUUCUGAUGAUAUUUAAAAGGGCAAAUACUGCUUAGAGAUAAAUCAGUCUACUUGGGUGCCUAAAUUCGUUGUAUCACAUUAUCUCAUUGGCAAAGUUCCUGAUCUGCAGGAGCUUUGAUCUGCAAUUAACUGCACACUGUGGACCAAUUCUGCCAGCCUUCUCAGGCUAAAGCUUUGAGGUGGCCACAGGAGAGACAAGGCAGUGGGAAGCAAGCUAUUAGAUGUUGCCUUCUGGGUCUUACAGCCAACAAGUAAACCACUGCUAUUCUGAUGAUGUUGCAUGGCAGGGUAAGCAUGUGUUCCUCAGAUAUGCUAUCUAGGUUUUUCAACCUGCAGGUCUUUUUACUGCAAGCCAAUGUUUUUGGCCAGGACAAAACAAGAGCACUGACAGAUUUAAAACAUGUACUGGGUUAAACACUGUUAGAACAGUGUUAAAACACUGCCACCCUGGCAAUGGCAAUGGUGUGUGGUGGUGGGUCAGUGUUUGGCUAACCAGAGGCAAUGAGGUGGAGAUUCAUUUCUCAUUUCUGUCAUAAUGCCCUCCUGCUUUCCUGCCUGAGGAAAUCUGCCCAAGUGUUGGGUCCGUUUCACAGAGAGGAGACAGGAAGACAAGAGACAAGGGAAGGUUGGUGCCACAGCCCGAGGCUGUGCAACUUACCCUUUGCUUCCUUCAGAGCACACAGGCUCCCCUGAGGCAUUGCUUCACCUCCCACCGCUCCAACCAGGCCUUUGCAUUUCAGUUUAACUCUCAAACGUUUUACAGGACUUCCAAGUAACUGUUCCUACUCCUCAGCACAAUUCCAGUUCACAUAUUCUUCAUUAAUCUCUGUUCACCAUUAAAGAUCCCUUCUGCUAGAAAUUUCCUAAUUUCCCCAUUCUUGCCCUCUCCAAUUGCUCCCUCCAGCCAUCACUUCUGAAGACAGAAUUGCUGAAGAGAUUGCAUCCACUGGGACAGAAUUCCUAAAUGAUGAGGCUUAACCAUAUUUGUUUCAAUUUCUAUACCUUGAAAAAAGAAUGCACUAAUUUCCCACUGGUCUCCCAGGAGAAGGUUAAGAUCAAGUAAACAAUGUUUGAAAAGCUUUUUGCAGAUGGCAAAAGAAGUCCGAGCAUUUCCAGAGAUCUGGUGAGAGGAAACAUCCUGUUAAGCUGCAUGUCUCAAAUCAGUUUCAACAAUUACUAUUUUUUUUUUCUCUUAUGAUUACAACCUUAUUUAAAAGCAAAAGUAAUGUUCAGGUUUUUUGGCACUUGCUGUUUGAAAUUCAUGGCUCUGUCAUAUUCUUUCAGCUUUUCUCUUGUGCUUGUUACUAUGCUCUCUAAGUGCUUAAAAAUAUGAGCUCCUAGGACAGUAGAAUUUUUAAACUAGUCAGAAUGUGAUGUUCAGAGGAAUUGAGGGAUUUGGGAACUCCUUGGAAUUCAUUAGAUGUCAGAUUUAAACAAGCUAGAUUUUCACAUUUCAAAGAUUAUUUGUUAACAUAUUUAAACAGAGCAUUCAGGAUUGAGGAAGAUCAAUCCCCAGAGACUCUUCAAAACAGGAAAUGUAGAGAAAGAAUUGGGCAGAAUUAUGUUGCAACUGGCUUCUCACACUGAUUAGUAAUUAAAUUGGUAAAAAAUUAAACUCUUGAAAUUAUUUAAAAUGCAUGCACAGAGCAUUCUUUCCCAAGGAGCUGGAGUGCCUUUUUAAGGAUCCUGCAAAAGGCUGCAAUGGUAAUUCAUUUGAUUUAACUGAUUUUGCCACCUUUUUUCUGGAAGGUGAUAAAGCAGGUUUGUCAAGACAGAUAAGAGUCCACAUUGUGGACUGUGUGCUCACAACAUUUUCCAAUUUGAGCUUUCUAUCAUCAGGGCUUUCUCAUCUUCAGGCAAACUCAAAGCAUUACAGAUUGCAAUUCUUUCAGUGUCUCAAAGUGCAUCAGGCAUAUUAAAGAUAGAGAAAGCAAUGUGUCCUGAAGAAAGGAGUUUUUAAUUACUAUUUUAUUAUGUACCUUAUUAUUUUCUAGAGGUUUUGAUCAAUUCUUUGGCCACUGCACAAAUACAGAGGAAGUCUCUGUCAUGACCAGCUGAGUUUAUCACCAAAAUUGAAUCCAGAAGUAUAGCAUAGAAGAAAAAGAAGUUCUUGAAUGGGGACUGGAGGCAAACACAGCAGUCCACAUUGUCCUGGAGGCAGUCUGAUUUCUACAUGUGAUGUCUUCCCUUGCAUUGGGCAAUAUCAGGACCUCUGCAGGAAAGACACUGAGCAACCUCAUUUGGUCAGUGUUGCAAGAGCAGAAGGGAUGGCUGGAACAGGAGGGACCAAGAGAUUUGGCAGAAGUCACAGCAAGAAAGCAUUAUUUGGGUCAUGAACAGAUUUAUUAAAGGAAUGGAUUUCAAAGCCCAUCAAAAGACUUUUGAAGUUCAUUGAUAUCCAAUGGCAAGUAUUUAAGAAAGAAGAGCAGUUGUGUAUAAAAUGGCCCAGAGAGAAGAAAACAUGGGACAAAUGCAGAAAAAAUAUUGAAAUUGCUCAAUUGAGAAGAAGAUGCUAAGAAGUUUUUUGACAGAAAAGUUUCUAAAUUUAAUAAUUAAAACCCAGCCUAUUGCCAGUGAUUCCUCAAGGAGGCUUUUUGUUCUUCAGAGCCUGCAAUACUUCACAGAUUUCUGGGAAGGAAAGGGUAUUCUUCAUUUAAAAUCUAAUUGCUCUUUCAAUACAUGCUAGAGAAAGCUAGGCAUGACUAAACUAUUAUUUGAAGAGUUCGUAGAUGAUUGUGGAUCAUAAUUAUAUCCUGUUUAAAACAUCCCUUGAGGUAGGGAUGGAAUAGGGUAAUUUGUGACCCUUCCUUUGUCUUCAAUUACUAAUGACAGCCUGAACUUCAAGUACUGAUGACAGCCUGAACAAACAAAAAAAAAAGCAUAAGGCUUUGAGUUUCAGCCACAUGAAGCAUCUCUCGCUAAACAAAUCACAAGCAUCACCACUUUUACAUUCAAAUUCAAGGUAAGCAUGUGCUGGAGUGCCCUUGCUGAACCAGAGUGGGAAUGAGGCAAGCACCCACUCACCUCAUGAGUAUGGAAGAUACUCUGUAUUCUCCACCUAGAAAUCACUCUUCUUCCUUAUGGAACAGAAACACAGUUGCUCCUGAGCCUGGGCACCACCACCAAAACAGCCAAACCACCCAGCCAGGGGAGGGCUUUGUGGUGGGAGUCUGCGAUGCCCCAGUGGGUGAGGCUGAAGCCUGGCUGAGCUGAGGGCACUGCACUGGUAAUUGCAGGCACCCAAGCUGCUCUUCAGUGCCCAGACAUGCUUUAGAUAUUUUCUGUGCCACAGUCCCCUACUUCAGCUUUACUUGGGAUUUGAGAUGUUGACAGUAAAUAGCAAACCUGAUGCCUUGGAUUAAAAACCACCAAAGUGGAACUAUUAAUUUCAGUAGGAACCAGAGGUUAUGGAGGUUCAUUUUUUUAAAAAUUCUGUAGGAGGUAUCCACUCAGCUAUAUAGAGUAAAUUUUGUGAUGCUUUUCUUUUUCAGAUUGUAAGACAUCCUGCUUAUAUGUUAUAGUCCUAAUAAAUACAGAUUAGACUUAAAGAGCUUCCGUAAAUGUCAUUAUUUCGAGGCAACCUACUCAUUCUUCAGAAGUGGAAAGCCAGAAACACCUCCAGAAAGAAACACCUACACUGGAGAGAUUACCAAUUCCUUCUUUUAUCCCCAAGAUGUUGCCAAAUGGAGAACUCCUGCUUUACAAGCAGGGAUUCAGAGCUGAACUGAAUACUGGACAUCCCCAAAGAGCAAACAGGAAGACUCUCAAGGACAAUUGAACUAUGGGCAUCUCAAAAUAAAUACAUGUAUUGUGGGAGAGAGCAUGAGGAAAGUGAAGGUUGCUUCUUUGGUUUUUCUUAUUUUCACAACCUACUUUACCAUAUCUGAAUGUCAGUGCGUAACACCUCCUUGGGUGAGCACUCCUGCACUGUUUUCAGGUUAAUGCAUGCAGUGGGUACAAACAAACAGCAACAGCGUACCGAGGUGUGCUGAGGCUUGAGGAUUUUUUUAACAGUGACGAUGUGUGCCCAGAGAAAAAAAGUGUGUGGAGCUGAAGACAAACAAGAAGUGGCAGAAAACCACCUCACACCUCCAGCAGCACUGGGCUGUGCAGCUGGGGUGCUCAUUUUUCCACCAGACCCAGGUUCAUCCAUAGGCUCAUGACAGCAACUCCCACCCCAGAGGAAAAUCUCUCCUUUGCCCUUUAGCUGGGCUUCCUGGCAAAGACUUACAGGAUCCCAGCUUUGUAUAUUUGUCUCUGGCAGUUGCAGCUACGAUUCCUCUUCUGAGGGCUUCAGUGGGCAUAAGCCAUUCUUGGCAUGAGGGGGUUCCCUAUCUGCAGGUGAGAUACCAAGCAAGGUUUCAGCUAGGUAGAACACCGCGCUCUGAGCACUGUCAGCGAUGGCUUUGCACAGUGACAGCGAGAGCUGUGUAUCUAAUUUGGGCAGCAGCAGAUGGAUCAUUUAAGACAGAAAGAGACUGGCACUACCAGCAGAGCAAAGGGAUAACGUGUUCUUUCUGCAGCACAAAUCUCACAAGUGACUCAUGACUCUUCUACAGCUCACACUGGCAUCCCUUGGUCUUUGUGACUGUAACUGCACAUUUUAAAGGUCAGGACAGUGCUUUCUCUCUAGUACCUUGGAAUCCAUACAGGUGAAUGUUUUGCUCAGAAGAACCUUCAGUGCACAUGGUGGUUUCCAUAUGGUUUGAUCAGCAGGUUGCUCUUCUCCUUCUGGCCCAAGCAUAAAGAUUAUGAAAUAAUCUCACCAAUAAACCUCUCAGUUUGAUUCCUGGGUGCUCGCUGCAUACAUAAUUAUCAUGUACAUGACUAAUAUCAGACAGGCCUGGUGCCUGAGCCACACCCACAUUCCUUCUGCCAGCCCUCAUUUCAGAACAGAUUUCAAUUAACUUUCAUCAUAUGUUUAAGGUGGCCUAAGUCUUUUCUUCUUUGUGUAGGUGUUUGUAUCUCAGUACUUUAUACUUAAGGAUGUACUUCACUGCUAACUAGAACAGAGACUAGUUAAUGGUCUUAAAUGGUCUUCUGUCUACUGGUCUUAUUUAGGUGGUAUUUCCUCCGACAGCAAAGCCCUGGCAUUAACUAAGCUGUGUGUGCAGGCUGCUCAUGUUCAUGAGUUAGUGUGCUAUACCUUGUGAAAGCACACACUGAUGGUUCACCUGUAACAACCUGGAAUCACAGGCAUUUCACCACUGUCCUUGCUGAAAAAUUAGAAAGCCUGAAGCUGAAUGGUGUUCAAAAGCUCAUUGCUUUCUUGUCCAAAAUGGAAUUGUCAUCUAGAUUGGGUAGUAGCUUUCUGUGCAAAUUUCUGUUCUAGGUACAAGGUAUCCUGGUACUGCACAAUUUAUACUAGCCUUAACUCAGGGGGACUCAAAUCAGUGCAGGCUGUGCUCGGUGAUGGUAAAAUCCUACGGAAAAUUACAGUCAGUGCAAGGAAACCACUGGCCAGAAAGAAGAUCCAAAAGAUAUGAAUAAACCAGUGCUUCUGCACAUUUAACUUUCCUCAAAUUCUCUUGAUAACUUUACAAGGAGAAAAACAAACCAAUACAAAUAGCCAUGUGUUUCACAGACUGGAACACUGCACUGAAGUUGAAAUAGGCCCUCCUAUUUUAGCAGCUUGGUAAUGUUUCCAACCUGUCUUUCGCAGGUUUCUGAGCUGGAUCCAGCUGAAAAUAGUAAUAACUCACCUUUGAUAGUUAUGUAAAAGAUAGACUGCAGCCCCAGUUCAGCUUCCCUUGAAUGGGGAGAUGAAACUUGCAACCAUGUUUCAUAACAGUACCUUUAUUGGCAGGCUUGCCAAAGAGGCCUGGGAUACAUGACCUUUGCAAAUGAAUAACCAACAACUUUGACUUUAGAAAUAGUCUUUCAUAAUGAAGCUGAUCCUGGGAAAACACCCUCUGCCUACACUGAACUUUUUUUUUCAGUAACUUUAAUUCCAAAAUUAUGUUUAAAUCUUUUAAAAUGUGCUUAAAUUUGUAUGUUUAUUCCUACAUUGAAUGCUAACAUAAUUAGGACUAUGGGUCAUCUUCUGUAUUUAACUACUCAUAUUGAAUAUAAAGUCCUAAAUAUCUUUAAUAUGCAUGUCUUCACUGCGGACAUGCAUAUUAAAAAAAGUGGUUUUUUUAAACGUAUCUUCAGUUUUCAAACAAAAGCUUGCUCUGCUCCUGCUGAAAAAGUUUAAAAGAAUAAACCAGCUUGAAUAUUCAAAAUCCACCACAGCAAUAAGAAUUAAACAACAAGUAAUAACAACAUAUCAAUUUGACAGGCUUUAUUUUUAGUGACUUUCGAGUUGUCACAAUCUCAAGGCUUUUUCUUCCAGAGCCUAGGGCUAAAAGGUAACUGCCUCGUAUUUAACGAAAGGUAAGUUACACAAAAAAUGCCAGCUGUCAUGAGAUAAAGGACAAAUCAUGAGUCAGCAAAAUCAUUCCAGAGCUUUAUCAAGGAACUUAUCUUUUCUUCCAGGUUGUUUUCUUUUGUGUGACACUUGUCUGACAUUGCCUGAAAUUAUUUCCUUACACCUUGGGAGUCUGGCUGGGAGACCUGACAAUAUUACUGACAGUGGAUUAAACACAUCUGCAAACUUUGUAUAAAGAAAGCAAUUGAUUAUCGUACAGUCUGGGAAAGGAGAAGAAAGGGAAUAAAGGGGGGAAAGGGAAGAAAGGAAAUAAAAGAGGAAAGGAGGAUAGGAAGAUUUGUGGCCUUAUUUAUGUGUCUUCAACCCCAUAGUAUAGGCAUCUGUGCAAAGAUCCUCACUGAGGAUUUGUUACAGCCUUUGUUAAAAAUGAGAAUACUUAGUAGCAGAGAUAGUACCUGGGGAACAGUAUCAACAUGAAAAAAAUAUCCUGAUAUAUAUGAAAUACAUAUAUACUACUUGACAUGAAAUAUAUAUCUACAUAUCCUACUGUCCCUAUCUGAUUUUUACAUGGACCACAGAUUAACUUCAUUCCUGUUCUUACAAAACAAUUUUAGCAGAUCCUUAAGUAGCAAUAAAUAAACAGAGACUGUGAAACUAAUUUUAUAUGUUGCUGAAAGAGAAGUCAAUAUUAAAAAAAAAAAAAAAAAAAAAAAAAACCAAAAAUAAAUUUAUGUUGAUAGAGCUGAAGGUUGCUUUGUUGGUUCUUCCCUUGGCUUCGGCACUCAGUUCAGUGUCCCAGUGUUUUAGUUUUAUUUUUCUUAAUGGUUUUCCUCCCAUCUAAAAGCAUUGCUAGGAAAGUUUUAGGCCUGCUGAACAAAAUCCUGCAAUGUCAAUGACCUCUUUGGUAGAAUUUAGUGAGGAGGGAGGUGUCACUCAAAAGACACACUGUGGCUGCAUCUACUCCGUGUGAUGGCACACAAAGUACAGGAAAUCGCCCCUCCAGGGCUUGUGUCUUCUGGUGCUCUGCACAGCUCAUGCAUCCAAGCAAUGGUGGUCACAGCCAGGUGGAAAAGCUGAGCCAGAAGGCUCACAAAAGGAGAUGUCUGUAAGGACAUUUCUAGACUGGCAAUGAAGCCUCUGUGAACUCAGGAACCUCCAAGGCUUUGGUAAACUGGGGUUAUGAUGUACAGAUGAAAAGAGAGCAGCAAUGGGGAAGACUCAGAGAAGUCACUGAUCCUUUUGCUGCAAAUCCAGUAUUGGCAACCAUGGCUCACUUGGACACGGCUUCUUGCCCUUUGUCCUGGGGUGUCAGACCAGAUCCCUGCUGUACUCUAAAGAAAGUCACUUCCUAGAAAAGUGGUUGCUCCUGAACCAGCAGCACUGUCCUGCAGUUCCUCUGCCUGCUCUGUGUUGCCUCAGAGUUCUUCUGGCUUUCAGCUCCGACAGAUUACACACAUAUUUUUCCCUCUAAGGCUCUGUACAGUUGCUCACCCUAAGUCAGCAUGACUCUGGGCGCAAGUCAUUAAAGACCUAUGCAAGCUAUUCAUUUUUUAAAAGAAAACCAGGUUAGAAAACCUCCAGGGCACUUGCACUCGGCAAGAUAAUUUUAUAGUAGCUUUUCCCAUUGUACUAACUUGUCAGUGUUUAAGCACUUCCCUUCCUUGUUCUCAUUCCAUUCAAAGUCUGGAGUUUCACUUUCAUUUCUCUUGGGCACUUAAGUUUCAGUUCCCUUUCGGCACUGCCCUCUCCUUUGUGGACACCUCCCUCAGCUACUGAAUUACUUGUAAACCACUUGGAAUAUCUUUGUCUUCUUUUUGCUUUUCCAUAACAUUCCUUAUCCUUUUUUUUUUUCUUUCCUGACUUCGCAUCUUUCUCAUCUGUUUUCCUCAAGUAUCAUAGUGUAAGCCAUUAAGAAGGGAAAACUAAGAAGAGCUGAGUUAAUUAGGUUCUUAAGCUUAUUUGUGAAAGUAAGAAUCGGCUUGGGAACUGUCACAAAUAGGGAUGGGCUUCAAGCGUUUUCUGGAUAAAGAGAGCACUUUUAACCACUACCCUCCUGAAUUUGUAAUUUACCUUACAUUUGUGAAUUUUUGAAUGGACCAGUGUACCUUCCAUUUCUGCCCCCUCCCUUACGCUCAUUCCCACAAAAAUAAAUUCCUUUUUCACUCUCCAUGGUGUUAUCUGUUUGAACUAUGUCACCUUUUAUUUGAAUCACAGAUUGUUAAAGUAGGAAAUGCUAUUUCUAACAUUUGGAUCAUUGCAAUUCUGAUCUUGUGAAUUCUAUUCAGACUAAAUAUCUGUUUUAAUUACUAAGCAGAAACCUCAAGCCUUAUUUCUGUGCUUCCACAAUUCCAGCUUGGCACAUCCCCCAAGACAGUCACAGUAAUUUUUCUUUGGGGAAAAAAAUAACAAUAAUAUGACAAGAAUUGCUGUAAUUCUAGAAUUACCGCUUCACAAUGACAACAUAAGAAAAUAUUCUACUGUGGCAUUAUGAUAGCUGCUUUGACAAAUGACUGCAGGGAUCUGGAGUGAUUCACAGGUCCAGCCCAGGUGUAACUGGCAAACAGAAUCAAAUAAGAGGAUAAAACAAGUUUGUGAGACUUUUCUUCACCUCCCUAGUCCUGGGACCAGCAAAGAACUGUUGGCAGUCUGGGAUGGAAGGGUAAGGUCCGACCCACUUCCCACUCUCUUCUCAACUCCUGAAGAUUCGGUGGGAACAGUGACAGUGCUCCUGUGAUGCCUGUGAAUGAGGAGAGCUGUGCUGAGUCAGGGUCAAGUCCAUUGGUGUCCCCAGAAGAGAACUGAGCAGCCACUAGGAACUUAUAAACCCAACACAAGCUACCUUCAAAUUAGUCAUUUAAUGUUUAAAAAUAGAAUACAUAUGUUUGCUGUACAUACAUAAAAAUGCAAGAAAUUGUACAGUCUAUAACCACCACUCAAGAGUGCUCUGUGGCAAAUCUGAGUGAUGCAUAGAAGACAAUUAUAAUCUGCAUGACAGUUUCUUAGUUGUUUGGUAAAGCUCUUCAUCAUAGCACCAUCGGCUUCUGCACACACAGAUAAGGGGCAGUCAGCUCGGGCAGUUUAUGCUUUGUGGCUGUAAGCAGUUCAGGGAUGCUGCUCAGCAGAACUGUAAUUAAAAUUAAUUUUAUUCUUCACUGUGCUGUGAAGCAAGCAACAGGCUUGGUUGUCCUUUUCAAUGUACUUUCUUCAUGUAACUGUGGAGGAAUCAAAGUGAGGAACAUUACAACUUUCUGAGCACUGCCUAAUCUUGUAAUUAUAGGCUUUUCAUCGUGGAACACAACAGCUGGGAACGAGAGUUAGGGGAAUGAGAGCACAGCAAGCCUGCUAUUUCCUAACAGAAUAUCCCCAAGCCAUUAUACUAUAUUUUUUCUGCAAUUUUUCCUUUAUUUUCCUAUUGUAAAAGAAAAAAAAAAAAAAAAAAAAAA